rnacentral:rRNA from 1 species
GAUGAACGCUGGCGGCGUGCCUAAUACAUGCCAGUCGAGCGAACAGACGAGGAGCUUGCUCCUCUGACGUUAGCGGCGGACGGGUGAGUAACACGUGGAUAACCUACCUAUAAGACUGGGAUAACUUCGGGAAACCGGAGCUAAUACCGGAUAAUAUAUUGAACCGCAUGGUUCAAUAGUGAAAGACGGUUUUGCUGUCACUUAUAGAUGGAUCCGCGCCGCAUUAGCUAGUUGGUAAGGUAACGGCUUACCAAGGCAACGAUGCGUAGCCGACCUGAGAGGGGGGUCGGCCACACUGGAACUGAGACACGGUCCAGACUCCUACGGGAGGCAGCAGUAGGGAAUCUUCCGCAAUGGGCGAAAGCCUGACGGAGCAACGCCGCGUGAGUGAUGAAGGUCUUCGGAUCGUAAAACUCUGUUAUUAGGGAAGAACAAAUGUGUAAGUAACUAUGCACGUCUUGACGGUACCUAAUCAGAAAGCCACGGCUAACUACGUG